GAUCCCAUUAGCCUAGUGGUUGAGGCUAUGGGUCGUUAAUCCGGAGACGGCGGGUUCGAUUCCCGUUCCGGUCG
rfam:Aedes albopictus isolate Foshan contig15260, whole genome shotgun sequence.